UACGUAGGGUGCAAGCGUUAAUCGGAAUUACUGGGCGUAAAGCGUGCGCAGGCGGUGAUGUAAGACAGAUGUGAAAUCCCCGGGCUCAACCUGGGAACCGCGCUUGAGACUGGCAUGCUCGAGUUCGGGAGAGGAUGGUGGAAUUCCCAGUGUAGAGGUGAAAUUCGUAGAUAUUGGGAAGAACACCGAUGGCGAAGGCAGCCAUCUGGACCGACACUGACGCUGAGGCACGAAAGCGUGGGGAGCAAACAGG
rnacentral:rRNA from 1 species